rnacentral:rRNA from 1 species
AGUGAACGCUGGCGGUAGGCCUAACACAUGCAAGUCGAACGGCAGCACAGUAAGAGCUUGCUCUUACGGGUGGCGAGUGGCGGACGGGUGAGGAAUACAUCGGAAUCUACUUUUUCGUGGGGGAUAACGUAGGGAAACUUACGCUAAUACCGCAUACGACCUACGGGUGAAAGCAGGGGAUCUUCGGACCCUGCGCGAUUGAAUGAGCCGAUGUCGGAUUAGCUAGUUGGCGGGGUAAAGGCCCACCAAGGCGACGAUCCGUAGCUGGUCUGAGAGGAUGAUCAGCCACACUGGAACUGAGACACGGUCCAGACUCCUACGGGAGGCAGCAGCGGGGAAUAUUGGACAAUGGGCGCAAGCCUGAUCCAGCCAUACCGCGUGGGUGAAGAAGGCCUUCGGGUUGUAAAGCCCUUUUGUUGGGAAAGAAAAGCAGCAGGUUAAUACCCCGCUGUUCUGACGGUACCCAAAGAAUAAGCACCGGCUAACUUCGUG